UACGUAGGUGGCAAGCGUUGUCCGGAUUUACUGGGUGUAAAGGGCGUGCAGCCGGGCUGACAAGUCAGAUGUGAAAUCCCGCGGCUCAACCGCGGAACUGCAUUUGAAACUGUCAGUCUUGAGUACCGGAGAGGUCAUCGGAAUUCCUUGUGUAGCGGUGAAAUGCGUAGAUAUAAGGAAGAACACCAGUGGCGAAGGCGGAUGACUGGACGGCAACUGACGGUGAGGCGCGAAAGCGUGGGGAGCAAACGGG
rnacentral:rRNA from 1 species